CUCUUCCAUAAUCUUAUCCACAUCCUCUUCUGUGAAGUCUGUGGUGCCCAGUGCAAUGGAUUCUUUGAAUUUAAAGGUCUCGCCAAGCUCUACCGCACUGCCAGGUGUGAUCUCGAAAAUCCCACUGAAAGGGUAGGGAUGCCCUCCAUAGGCAAACUCUCUGCCGUAGAUCUCAAUGCCAGAGUGGAAGACACCAAUGCCCAAGGUGGAGGUGUAUUCAUUUAUCCAGU
rnacentral:lncRNA from 1 species